AUUGAACGCUGGCGGCAUGCUUUACACAUGCAAGUCGAACGGUAACAGGCCGCAAGGUGCUGACGAGUGGCGAACGGGUGAGUAAUGCAUCGGAACGUGCCCAGUCGUGGGGGAUAACGCAGCGAAAGCUGCGCUAAUACCGCAUACGAUCUAUGGAUGAAAGCGGGGGACCGUAAGGCCUCGCGCGAUUGGAGCGGCCGAUGUCAGAUUAGGUAGUUGGUGGGGUAAAGGCUCACCAAGCCGACGAUCUGUAGCUGGUCUGAGAGGACGACCAGCCACACUGGGACUGAGACACGGCCCAGACUCCUACGGGAGGCAGCAGUGGGGAAUUUUGGACAAUGGGCGCAAGCCUGAUCCAGCAAUGCCGCGUGCAGGAAGAAGGCCUUCGGGUUGUAAACUGCUUUUGUACGGAACGAAAAGGCUCUGGUUAAUACCCGGAGCUCAUGACGGUACCGUAAGAAUAAGCACCGGCUAACUACGUGCCAGCAGCCGCAGUAAAAC
rnacentral:rRNA from 1 species